rnacentral:lncRNA from 1 species
GAGGUAUUUUAAAAUACCUCAUAAUUGGUUCCGAGUCGGGCCCUCUUCUCUCUUUAUUUUUUCUUUAAACUCCAUCUUUUCAUUUUUUUGUUUAUUGCUGUUUUUUAUUAUUAGCAUUAUUUUUAUUUUUAUCCUUUUUCAUUAUUAUUAUCAUUAUUUAUUAUCCUUUUUUUUUAUUAUUAUUUUGUCCAAUAAUUGGUGCAAGUGGUCACAAAUUACUCUCAAGCCAAAUUUUUGCUCAAACACCCAAUGCUAUAUAACCACAGCAGCACCACACGCCAAAGGGGGGGAAUUUUCCAAAGACAGAAAUUCAUCAAUCCAACAUCUGCAUUUCUCCAACAUUCAAAGCCCAAAUCGCACAACCUGCAAAGAAAACCAGAAAAUAGCAAGAUCACAGUAUCCAAUUUCUCAACAAAACAAAAACCAAUCUCAAUAAAAGAAAACCAUCAACCAAAUCUGCGAAUCAAAACCAUCAGCUUCAAAUUCCAUCAAUCCUCAAUCCAAACCGUUUCACAACCGGCCGUGAAACACCAUCACAAAUCCAGCAACAAACCCCAAUCGGCCAGCAAGCUGCAAAAACCGGCCGAAACCCUUUCAAACACAUAACAACCAACUUCUUUUACCAAAAACUAAAGGUAGUAUUUUCUAAUCUUAGAUCUAGGGUUUGUUAAACCUCAUUUCAAAAAACCGUUUUCAAAAAAGAAAGGAGAAAGGAAAGGGUGAUCUUUUUGGUAAAAAAAAAAAAUCAAAAAGGAGGAGUUUUUAACUCCGGCCACCGCGCCGGAACCAUCUCCGGUAGCCUCUUCUCGUCGGAGAAGAUGAAGAAUUCUAGAGAGAAGGCAGAGCCUCUCUCUCUAGAAAUAAGAGAAGAGAGAGAAGUUUGAAAUAGAAAUGAACAUAAAAAACCGGAGCUGGCUAUUUAUAAAGGGAUUGAACCGGUUCAACCUUUAAACCGGUCUGAACCGGUCUAAUCCAGGCCCAUACGUUUUUUCUAAGGCCCAAGCUCAAAUCUCUUUUAUUUUUAUUCCUGCACCCCCCUGUUUACUUCCUGCACUCCCCAGCAUCUAAUUUUAUUUCCUUUUUCAUGCAUUUUAAUUUUCUCUUGCAUUUUCUAUUUCAUCUUACAUUAAAGUACACAUAUCAAUCCAGAGUGCUCUGGUCCUCAGUUAAUUGUUAAUAUUAUAUUCUUGUUUAAUUUAAUUAUUCUCCAGA